rnacentral:rRNA from 1 species
UAUCGGAUUACUGGGGCGUAAGCGCACGCAGGCGGUCUGUCAAGUCGGAUGUGAAAUCCCCGGGCUCAACCUGGGAACUGCAUUCGAAACUGGCAGGCUGGAGUCUUGUAGAGGGGGGUAGAAUUCCAGGUGUAGCGGUGAAAUGCGUAGAGAUCUGGAGGAAUACCGGUGGCGAAGGCGGCCCCCUGGACAAAGACUGACGCUCAGGUGCGAAAGCGUGGGGAGCAAACAGGAUUAGAUACCCUGGUAGUCCACGCCGUAAACGAUGUCGAUUUGGAGGUUGUGCCCUUGAGGCGUGGCUUCCGGAGCUAACGCGUUAAAUCGACCGCCUGGGGAGUACGGCCGCAAGGUUAAAACUCAAAUGAAUUGACGGGGGCCCGCACAAGCGGUGGAGCAUGUGGUUUAAUUCGAUGCAACGCGAAGAACCUUACCU